GACGAACGCUGGCGGCGUGCUUAACACAUGCAAGUGGAGCGACGAACCAGGCUUCGGCCUGGGGCAGAGCCGCGAACGGGUGAGUAACACGUGGGUAACCUGCCUCGAUGACCGGGACAACCCGGGGAAACCCGGGCUAAUACCGGAUGUGCUGCCCUCACAUCAGUGAGGGUUGGAAAGGAAGCUUCGGCCUCCGCAUCGAGAUGGGCCCGCGGCCCAUUAGCUUGUUGGUGAGGUAAAGGCUCACCAAGGCUGCGAUGGGUAGCUGGUCUGAGAGGACGAUCAGCCACACUGGGACUGAGACACGGCCCAGACUCCUACGGGAGGCAGCAGUGGGGAAUCUUGCGCAAUGCGCGAAAGCGUGACGCAGCAACGCCGCGUGGGGGAAGAAGGCCUC
rnacentral:rRNA from 1 species